GAUGAACGCUGACAGAAUGCUUAACACAUGCAAGUCGACUCGAGUCUUCGGACUUGGGUGGCGGACGGGUGAGUAACGCGUAAAGAACUUGCCUCAUAGUCUGGGACAACAUUUGGAAAUGGAUGCUAAUACCGGAUAUUAUACUUUCUUCGCAUGGAGGAAGUAUGAAAGCUAUAUGCGCUAUGAGAGAGCUUUGCGUCCCAUUAGCUAGUUGGUGAGGUAACGGCCCACCAAGGCGAUGAUGGGUAGCCAGCCUGAGAGGGUGAACGGCCACAAGGGGACUGAGACACGGCCCUUACUCCUACGGGAGGCAGCAGUGGGGAAUAUUGGACAAUGGACCAAAAGUCUGAUCCAGCAAUUCUGUGUGCACGAUGACGUUUUUCGGAAUGUAAAGUGCUUUCAGUCGGGAAGAAGCAAGUGACGGUACCGACAGAAGAAGCGACGGCUAAAUACGUGCCAGCAGCCGCGGUAAUACGUAUGUCGCAAGCGUUAUCCGGAUUUAUUGGGCGUAAAGCGCGUCUAGGCGGCAAGGAAAGUCUGAUGUGAAAAUGCGGGGCUCAACUCCGUAUUGCGUUGGAAACUGCCUUACUAGAGUACUGGAGAGGUAGGCGGAACUACAAGUGUAGAGGUGAAAUUCGUAGAUAUUUGUAGGAAUGCCGAUGGGGAAGCCAGCCUACUGGACAGAUACUGACGCUAAAGCGCGAAAGCGUGGGUAGCAAACAGG
rnacentral:rRNA from 1 species